GACGAACGCUGGCGGCGUGCUUAACACAUGCAAGUCGAACGGAAAGGCCCUGCUUUUGUGGGGUGCUCGAGUGGCGAACGGGUGAGUAACACGUGAGUAACCUGCCCUUAACUUUGGGAUAACUUCAGGAAACUGGGGCUAAUACCGGAUAGGAGCUCCUACUGCAUGGUGGGGGUUGGAAAGUUUCGGCGGUUGGGGAUGGACUCGCGGCUUAUCAGCUUGUUGGUGGGGUAGUGGCUUACCAAGGCUUUGACGGGUAGCCGGCCUGAGAGGGUGACCGGCCACAUUGGGACUGAGAUACGGCCCAGACUCCUACGGGAGGCAGCAGUGGGGAAUAUUGCACAAUGGGCGGAAGCCUGAUGCAGCAACGCCGCGUGCGGGAUGACGGCCUUCGGGUUGUAAACCGCUUUCGCCUGUGACGAAGCGUGAGUGACGGUAAUGGGUAAAGAAGCACCGGCUAACUACGUG
rnacentral:rRNA from 1 species